AACGAACGCUGGCGGCAUGCCUAACACAUGCAAGUCGAACGAUGCCUUCGGGCAUAGUGGCGCACGGGUGAGGAACGCGUGGGAACCUGCCCUGUGGUACGGAAUUACCCCGGGAAACUGGAGCUAAUAUCGUAUGUGUCCCCUGGGACAAAGAUUUAUCGCCACGGGAUGGGCCCGCGUAGGAUUAGCUUGUUGGUCGGGUAACGGCCUAUCAAGGCUACGAUCCUUAGCUGUACAGAGAGGAUGAUCAGCCACACUGGGACUGGGAAGCGGCCCGGACUCUUGCAGGAGGGGGCAAAGGGGGAUAUUGGAAAGUGGCGGGAAGGAUGAUGGAGCUAUGCCGGGAGAGUAAUGAAGGCGUUGAGGUUGUGAAGCUCUUUCGCACGCGACGAUAAUGACGGUAGCGUGAGAAGAAGCCCCGGCUAACUUCGUG
rnacentral:rRNA from 1 species